rnacentral:rRNA from 1 species
UACAGGGGGUGCAAACGUUGCUCGGAAUCAUUGGGCGUAAAGCGCACGUAGGCGGUUCGUUAUGUCGGAUGUGAAAGCCCUUGGCUUAACCGAGGAAGUGCAUCCGAAACUGGCGAGCUAGAGUACUAAAGAGGAUCGCGGAAUUCCACGUGUAGCAGUGAAAUGCGUAGAGAUGUGGAGGAACACCGAUGGCGAAGGCAGCCCCCUGGGCUGAGAUUGACGCUCAGGCACGAAAGCGUGGGGAGCAAACAGG